CCCACAUCUACAACAUCAUUCUCAUCAUCAUUAAGUGUGUCAACAAGUUCUUCAAAUUUCAACAUUGUUCUUCCACAGUAUAUAUUCAAUCAGCUGAAUUAUUACUUUAUACCAUCUUCAUCUCUUCAAUCAUCUUCACAUUUCUUACAUCACUAUCACUCAGAAUCUUCUUUGCAGAUAUACAAUCCUCAUACAUCAGACAAUAUAGACAUUGAAUCAGUCUAUAUAUUGUCAUUCUCUCAAUUGAGUGGUUCUGAAAGUGGAUAUACAUCAGAUGAAUAUUUCUCAGCAGCAGUCUCUUUCUAUCAAUUCUCUUAUUCAUUAUCAUCAGAUUUACAGAAUGAUACUUGGUUAAUCUUCUUUCUACAG
rnacentral:sRNA from 1 species